rnacentral:rRNA from 1 species
AUGCUCUCCUCCGGCCUUGAGCGGAUCUCCGCCAAGGCGUCCCCCUCCACCCCGCCCGCCCCGCUCCCCACCUCCGGCAAGUACUCCGCCGGCCUCCCCGCCCUCGCCUACGGGGUCCUCAAGCGCGCCAACGACAUCGUCGACGACCUGCUCGCGCAGAUCGACGCCGCGGGCCGCGACCGCGACCGCGCGCGCCAGGACAUGGACCAGCGCAACUACCAGAUCGCCAUCGAGGUGUCCGAGCUCGAGGCGGCCGUCGCCUCCCGCGCCGCCGAGUCCGAGUCCCUCUCCAGGUCCCUCUCCGAUCGGGAGGCGGAGAUCUCCGCGCUCCGGGAUGAGGUCGCCUCCCUCGAGGCCAAGAUGGACGCGCAGAGGCCCGUCCUCGCCGAGCAGAUCGGGUGCGCCUCCAGGCUCUAUGAUGAACUGCGCCAGGUAGUUAUGCUGGUGGACGCUGACGCCGCCACCGCACUGCCCGACUCUGUCUUCGUCUGGAAGGAGACAGACGUGGAGGAGAGCCUCAAGGUUUCGCUGGAAGGGACCAGGAUGGCAUACGACAUCGCGGCCAUGGCGCUGCAGAAGGUCGGGGUGUGGCGGGAUAAGGGGAAGAGCAAGGUGACGGAGCUGGAAGAGAGGGUGGAGGAGCUGACCCGGGAGAAGGAGCACAUUGGGGUGCUGCUCCGGAGCGCGCUGCAGGCUAACACGACCGAGGUUUUGAAGGUGGCCGAGGAUGGGCUGAGGGAGGCUGGAAUCGAGAUAGGGCUCAACGGCCACAGGGAUCACAGGCCAGGGAGCACGGAGAAGGAUGAAGUCUAUACAUUGGCAGGGGCAUUGGAGAACAGCAUGAAGGAGUCCCAGAUUAAGAUCAUUGAGCUGCAACAUCUUGUUGAAGCACAAAGGGCAGAAUCUAGUCUACUAAGGACGAGGAUGGAAGGGCAAGAAAAGGAGAUUGGUCAGCUACGGAAGCAGAUAAAACAUCUUGAAGAGAAGGAAAGGAUGGCCAAUCAAAGCGUUGAGGAUCUGAUGGUGGACGUAACAGCUGCUGAAGAGGAGAUUCAAAGGUGGAAGACGGCAGCAGAGGAGGAAGCUGAUGCUGGUAGAUCAAUUGAGCAAGAGUUCCAGACUCAGAUUUCGUCCCUCCACAAGGAACUAGAGGAAGCAAGAGAAACAAUGGUGGAGCUGGAAAACAAGCUCAAGUUCAAGGAGGAGACGGCGGCCGCCGCAAUGGCGGCCCGCGACGCCGCAGAGAAAUCCUUAAAGCUCGCCGACACGAGAUCCGCAAGGCUGCGCGAGCGGCUGGAGGAGCUCAACAGGCAGGCGGAGGAGUCGGACAAUAGGGCGGACCCGAGCAGCCGCAGCGGCCACAGGUACGUGUGCUGGCCAUGGCAGUGGCUGGGGCUGAACUACGUACGACUGCCGCCUGCCGAGGCAGAGGAGACCUCCAACGAGAUGGAGCUCUCCGAACCCCUGAUAUAG